AUCCCAUGAUGAGGACACUUACAAAGUAAAUCCUUAAAUCUUUCCCCAUGCCUUGUAUAAGGAUUCGUCAUCCAAUUGUGAAAAAAUGGUUAUCUCAUUUUCCAACUU
rfam:Gossypium hirsutum cultivar TM-1 unplaced genomic scaffold scaffold4076.1, whole genome shotgun sequence